rnacentral:rRNA from 1 species
CUUGCUGGGUGGAUUAGUGGCAAACGGGUGANUAACACUGUGAUUAACCUGCCCUUAACUCUGGGAUAACCCUGGGAAACUGGGUCUAAUACCGGAUAGGACCNCCUACCGCAUGGUGGGUNUUGGAAAAAUUUAUCGGUUUUGGAUGGACNCNCGGCCUAUCANCUUNUUGGUNAGGUAAUGGCUCACCAAGGCAACAACGGGUANCCGGCCUNAAAGGGUNACCGGCCACACUGGGAC